rnacentral:rRNA from 1 species
CAACUUUCAGCAACGGAUCUCUUGGCUCUCGCAUCGAUGAAGAACGCAGCGAAAUGCGAUAAGUAAUGUGAAUUGCAGAAUUCAGUGAAUCAUCGAAUUUUUGAACGCACCUUGCGCUCUUUGGUAUUCCGAAGAGCAUGCCGGUUUGAGUGUCAUUA